GCAAUAUUCCCUCUAUCUGGAAAUACUUGUCAUUAAAAUGAACAAAAAGGGAUGUAUCUACAACUAAAAUAUGUCUAGAUACAUCUCCUUUUAUCCAUUUUGAUGAUAAGUAUUUCCGGACGGAGGGAGUAUGAC
rfam:Triticum urartu cultivar G1812 contig931003, whole genome shotgun sequence.